rnacentral:rRNA from 1 species
UACGUAGGUGGCAAGCGUUGUCCGGAUUUACUGGGCGUAAAGCGCGCGCAGGCGGUUCGUUAAGUCCGGUGUGAAAGCCCCCGGCUCACCUGGGGGAGGGCAUUGGAGACUGGCGGACUGGAGGCAGGCAGAGGCCGGUGGAAUUCCCGGUGUAGUGGUGAAAUGCGUAGAUAUCGGGAGGAACACCAGUGGCGAAGGCGCGUUUCUGGGCUGCAUCUGACGCUGAGGCGCGAAAGCUAGGGGAGCAAACAGG